AACUCCCUAUCUGAUAAAGUUUAGCAAACAGUCAGUACCCAGCCUUGGAGCCAAAACCGUGAGGUGAGGUUUAAGCGUAGGCAGGGGAGCAUGAGAGCCGCAAUGCAAAAGCGUGAAGCAAUUCAGCCUCGUUACUACGGGAAGCGGAAGCCGAUGCAUUCAUCAAUGCAGCAGGCAGCAAGAACCGGGGAUCAGCUUUACCCGGGGAGAUUCCGCCGGGGUCAGAGAGC
rnacentral:ncRNA from 1 species